GCCUUGGCCACCUUGCCGUGCGUGAUCGUUGUUUGUUUUUAUUUGUGCUUUUUAAGAAUAUUUUUUUAAUUCGGAUACUUUUAUAAUAACUUUAAUAGUAUUAUUAACAUAGUGCAUAAAAUCAGUUGGAGUAGCAGAAGCAAUGUAGAUAAAAAAUCUGCAGGAAUAACAUUUCAAAGGUUAGUACCUCUGCAAAUAUGUAAACAAAGGCAUGCCCCUGUUUCAGAAAAUAUCCAUUUAUUAUUUUAAUAAUUGCGAAUAAGCCACAAACUUGCUUAUUCCUAACUAAAAUAGUAAAUAGAGAUAAUAACAAACGGAUUAUUUGUAAAAUUAAUUUUUUUUUUUCGUUUUUGCUAAUGUGUGGGUUUAUAAACAGGAUGGUAGACCACACACUAUAAUAGUACCAACUAAUGAAUACACAGUAUGAAUAGUAUAGUCGGUUCGCUAAACUUAGUCUCAGACACAACUGGCUAGUGAUUUUAGUAAAUAAUUUUGACAAUUUCGUAAAAUUGGCAAAAAAAUAAUAACUAAAUAGUUAGUAAUUUUGUCAAAAUUGGCCAAAAACAAAAAAAUUACCUACUAAAAUCACUAGCCAGUUGUGUCUAGGGAAACGACUAUACUAAUAAACAAUUUCUAAGCUGCUUUUUAUAAUAUUUUUUGAGUUCAUUAAUCAUAUUUUUUUUUUAAAACUAAAAUUUGUUAAUAAUGCUCAGUAAUGCAUAUAUUUUGUAUUUUUAGCUUUCCAGAAGAUCCUGCGAAGAAGGCAUGAAGUAUUGAUCAGAUUUGUUAAUAGAGCAGUAUGUUCAAAACAUUUUUUAGAAAACGAUAUUGACAGAGCUUCACUUUCAACUGUUCGUUUGAGAGACUGUGCUGUUCCAAUAGCUUAUAUCACACAGAAUCAGCUGAGAGAAGUGGUCUACAAAAAAACCAGGAAGGAAAUGGAAUAUGUGGCUAUGAAAGGCAAAAGAAAGGUUUACAAAGCAAAUGUGACACAUUUUUUUAUAGGAAUAUCAGUAAAUUACAUUAAAAAAAUGUAUGAAAAGAUUUUUUGCAAUAAAAAUGUUUAUAUUUA